rnacentral:rRNA from 1 species
GAUGAACGCUGGCGGCGUGCCUAAUACAUGCGAGUCGAGCGAACAGAUGAGGAGCUUGCUCCUCUGACGUUAGCGGCGGACGGGUGAGUAACACGUGGAUAACCUACCUAUAAGACUGGGAUAACUUCGGGAAACCGGAGCUAAUACCGGAUAAUAUAUUGAACCGCAUGGUUCAAUAGUGAAAGACGGUUUUGCUGUCACUUAUAGAUGGAUCCGCGCCGCAUUAGCUAGUUGGUAAGGUAACGGCUUACCAAGGCAACGAUGCGUAGCCGACCUGAGAGGGUGAUCGGCCACACUGGGACUGAGACACGGUCCAGACUCCUACGGGAGGCAGCAGUAGGGAAUCUUCCGCAAUGGGCGAAAGCCUGACGGAGCAACGCCGCGUGAGUGAUGAAGGUCUUCGGAUCGUAAAACUCUGUUAUUAGGGAAGAACAAAUGUGUAAGUAACUAUGCACGUCUUGACGGUACCUAAUCAGAAAGCCACGGCUAACUACGUG